CACGUAGGGUGCGAGCGUUGUCCGGAAUUAUUGGGCGUAAAGAGCUCGUAGGCGGUGUGUCGCGUCGGCCGUGAAAACCUGCAGCUUAACUGUGGGCUUGCGGUCGAUACGGGCAUCACUGGAGUUCGGCAGGGGAGACUGGAAUUCCCGGUGUAGCGGUGAAAUGCGCAGAUAUCGGGAGGAACACCGGUGGCGAAGGCGGUUCUCUGGGCCUUACCUGACGCUGAGGUGCGAAAGCGUGGGGAGCAAACAGG
rnacentral:rRNA from 1 species